UACGUAGGGUGCAAGCGUUGUCCGGAAUUAUUGGGCGUAAAGAGCUCGUAGGCGGCCUGUCGCGUCGGCUGUGAAAACCCGGGGCUCAACCCCGGGCCUGCAGUCGAUACGGGCAGGCUAGAGUCCGGCAGGGGAGACUGGAAUUCCUGGUGUAGCGGUGAAAUGCGCAGAGAUCAGGAGGAACACCGGUGGCGAAGGCGGGUCGCUGGGCCGGAACUGACGCUGAGGAGCGAAAGCGUGGGGAGCGAACAGG
rnacentral:rRNA from 1 species